ACUGGCUCCCAGCGCUUAUCAGUGCUUACCUAUGCUGCUGUACUUAGGUGAAAUCUGACUGCAACUCAUCCACACAAGUUGGCUGUUGCGCCUUCACCUCAGAAUCACAAAUUCCCACAGUCUGAGAGAACAACUCAUGAAUGGGCUGCACAAUACCUGAUGCGCUUGAAGGGGAUCUUUGAGAACUUCUGGGUGUCUUUGGAGGCACGCAUGUCAGGAAAGC